rnacentral:rRNA from 1 species
ACAAUGGAGAGUUUGAUACUGGCUCAGGAUGAACGCUAGCGGCAGGCUUAAUACAUGCAAGUCGAGGGGCAACAGACCACUUCGGUGGUGCUGGCGACCGGCAAACGGGUGCGCAACACGUAUGCAACCUACCUCUAUCAGGGGGAUACCCCCGGGAAACUGGGAUUAAUACCCUAUAAUAUUAUGAAACCGCAUGGUUUUAUAAUUAAAGCUCUGGCAGAUAGAGAUGGGCGUGCGUCUGAUUAGGUAGUUGGUAGGGUAAUGGCCUACCAAGCCGACGAUCAGUAGCUGAUGUGAGAGCAUGAUCAGCCACACGGGCACUGAGACACGGGCCCGACUCCUACGGGAGGCAGCAGUAGGGAAUAUUGGGCAAUGGAGGAAACUCUGACCCAGCCAUGCCGCGUGAAGGAUG